CAUCGCGAAGUGCUCUGUUAUUGGCUUCGAUAAACAGUUUAAACCCGUAACCAGCGAGCGAUUCUUUACGAUCACCCACGCCUCGAAACUGCGCGUCAUUACGGCCCACGUGAAAACAUCGCACGCGCGAAUUAUAAAUAGGAUCGUUUCAUCGCGUAGCCAGGAAACUCUCAAAAACGAUGCUAUAACCGCGACGUGGAUAUAAAGGGAGACUGUAUCCUUUGUCCGAUCCUCUUCUCGCUAAAAUAACGAACCGACGGCCGCGGCUCUCUAUUUCGAGUGACCCAAAUCGCGAGGAAUAUCUCUCAAGAUAAAUCGCAAGAAUAACAGUAGCAGGAUAUAUACGGAAUUUCGAAAUUCUAUUAAAAUCGAAACGACAACGUUCCGAGCUCCAACAAAAACAGAGGAAAGAAAAAAGGGAAUCGUGUGGAAUCACGGCGAUCGCACGUGCGACGCAUUCCGUCGUUUCAUUUAGCGGAGGCGAAUUUUGUUGCGUUGAAACGUUGUUUGUUAUCGUAUUCAGGGAAUGAACACGUGUGGGUAUUUGCUACAAAGGUGAUGAUAACAAAAUUUAAUGUGCCAGUUAGAAUCAUCUGGUCACCGGCGAAGACAGCGUGAUACACUUCCGAAUGUUUAAUUGAAGAGUCAGCAACAGCGUAAUCGGGACUGGUUAUAAGCGCAGCCGGAAAGUUUGCCGGAGCGGCGGCGGCGGCGGCGGCGGCGUGGCGGUACGGCCGCACGUUUAGUCCGAUAUGCCGUCGGGAUAAAGGGAGAGAAAUACGGAAAGACAGAGAGAAUAGUUGGCAGAAGCUGGAGCACGCCGGUAAAACGGCCCGUUACUCGCACUAACGAGUAAACCAGCAGUUGCUCGUCGGACUUUGCCGGUAUUAUGCUACACGAGCAAAUAAACCGGCGUGUUCGGCUAACUCCCCUGGUUUCUGGUAAGCCCCUAUACACUACUGGCUCCGCUGGCUGUAAAGCCCCGGCUAACGUCCGCGUGAUUGCAAUAUUCCGCGGCUUGUGGAGUGCGCCGGAUGUACGAGCGUUCACGUUACACGUUCCUGUGUUUUCCGCGUCGGUGUGCACACCAGAGGCGAUUGCGAUUGUGUGCUCUCUCCCUCGUCAGCAUUAAGGCACCGCGAUGCGACCAUGUACGACUCAUUGUUCGUCGCGAUUCGUCCGUGGUACAAGUUAAAUUUAAUCAAGUCGCCAACUGAGUAAAUACAAACGAGGCCCUGGAUGCUUCUCGGGAUAAAGAACAAGUGCAAGCAAGAUCGCGUUCAAUGAAAAUUUCUCUGGGAAAGUGAUUGAACUGAGAAUUAUGUACAAUGUUAGCAUCAUUGCAUUGAUAAAUAAAGAAUUUAGCUAAAGAUAAUGCUUCAAUACAAAAUAUUACAUACCUAAAAGAUUCGUCAAGCUCAGCACUUAUUAGUUCCAACAUAUAACUUUACAGCGAUUUAACCGAAAUUAAUUGUGUGACAAAAUGUAUGAGCGAAUGAUUGAGAGUGCUUAUUGUGACAGCUUCAAGAAUGAUUUAAAUUCUAUAUGAUGAAAAUUGAGAUGGAUUGCUGUCAUGAUUCGAAUGAACUGUUGUCGAGGAAAAGUAUGGCUAAGUUGGACGAUUAUCAAAACGACAGCGUAGUGGAAUCGAUGUUUAGCAACUUUGGAAGAUUGUCAAUUCGUGUUGGUUGUGCCGCCAUCGAAAAGGAGAAAGGGUUGUUACUGGCAUCGGGUGAACAGAGGCUAAAAAGAGAGGUAGAUGGACGGAGAGAGAAACACGGAUAUACCCAGCCCCGCCACCUCCCGAUGAAAUUUUAUGGGCUUUGCGUUUUCCGACGGGUGGUGCAGUCGCGUUUUCAUUGCAAUCUCGAUUCACCCCUUAGGCCGACGUCACACUAGCAAAUAAAUCAUAAAAUAUAUUUAAGAAGCAAAAUUUGAAAGCAUGUUGUUAAAGUAAUUGCCUUAUUUAUUUGUCCUCUUUCUUCCUUUUCGAGAUUAAGGAGUUUCUCUAUAUAUUGUUUUAUAUUACUAAUCCUAGUGUAAUUCUAUGUGGAACUGGCUUUAUACAAUGAGAUGAGAUACACAUGUAUAAGUGGCAUGCUUUCGCAAAUAGUCAGCUGAAAAAGCGCAGAGUACAGGCAACGAUUCGCGUAAUGGUAGCUACAUCCAUGAAUAACCUUCGGAGCUGAAUGCGUUAGUAAAACGAGUUAUCGGCACGAAAGUUACAACUGUUGCGAACGCGGUUUGAGCUGCGACAAUGGAUCAACGCGUAUGACGCGACCCGACGACGACAUGACGUGAGCCUCGACGUGAAAAUAAUUGCUGGCCCUGUACGAUCAUGGAUUAAUCCUUUGACGAUAGUCACCGUACGACAGAAAUGUAAUAAGGUGUUAAAUAUAAUGAAAAUUUUAUUAUGUAAGUUGAACGGACAAUCUGUUUCUAAAUUACUGGAAAAUUUGGGACAAUACUUCAUCUCUAUUAAUAUUUUAAUUAUUUUUACAAAAGACGAGAAGCUUUAUUAUUAGCGAUUAAUUCUAUUCUCUUCAGAUCUAAUAAGUUAAUGUAAAAAUGUAGACCAAAUUCUCGUUAAUCUCAAUGGAAUAAAAUAGUCUUUCAAAGGGUUUGACGGGAACUUUAAAAAAAAUUCAUUCAACAUUUCAAUUUCACACAUAAAUCGCUUCUCUUCAAGUACCUACUAGUUAUCCACGUAUUAAAAAAAGAAAAGAACCGAGAGAGAUCGCUGACUGAUUACACGUAUAGCACUAGAGCAGUCUGAGAGGUUAAGCUUUGAAGACAGAGGGUAAUCGAGAACGUCGAGAAGAGGAUCGGCCAUUAUGUGUGAAUGUUCGAGGGUAAACAGGCUGCAAUCAAUUCAGGGGUUCAUCGUGGCUGCUCGUCGACGAAAGGGAUGACUUCGAGUGGC